ensembl:lncRNA
CAGCAGAGAUUCGAGUAUUUGAGCAAAGAAUCCAGCGGGAACCCUGAGACGAUGAGACGAGAUCGGCUGCAGCAGCCGCGGGUCCCCGUUAUGCAAGAGCGCGCAGCUGGCUCUAAUGGCAGUCAUUUCGCUCCCUAACCCAGCCGGCGGCCAGUCCCUAAUCUCCGAGUCCUGAGUUUGAGACCCAAAUUGAGCAGUUUGAGGGACGGCGGCGCAGCUUCCGCUCAGAACACGCCGCGCUCCGCCACUCGUGUGUGGCUUCCAGGCCAGUUUCCCUCGGCCCAGCCGCCCGGGCACCGUGCUGGGGAGCGGUUCGGCCCCGCCUGCGCUGCUGCUUCUGAUAACCUCCGGGGGGCGGGGAGGGCGGGGUGCUCAGCGGGGCUCCAGAACUCCGGUGCCUCAUGAAAUGGACCGCUUCGACCCCCGCCCCGUUUCUCCUCACCUCCCCUUUCACUUCUUGAAUUUGUACAGCGGCUACUGAGGCACCUCGUCCUGCAAUCCAGGGCCCCACGGGCCUUCCGACCGACCUGCAAGCUCAAUCGACGUUGGCCCAACUUUCCUUUUGUCCACGUGGGAGCAGUAACAGGCUCCCCUUUUUCACCCAGCCUGGGAGUGUCAAUGGAGGCCUGGCCAUGGUCGGUGUAACCCUGAACCUCAACCCCACCUAGAACUGCCUUGAAGUCCCCUGCGCAGCAGCCACGAAGCUCCCAGCUGACGGCGUACAAUUCCCAACCCAUUUCUGCUGGCGGCACCGCAGGAUCUAAGGGAGGCAGCAUUGUCUCCUGGAAGUCUCCAAACGCAGGGUGCAGAAAGGUCUGCUGGGGACUCCAUCCAUGCCAUCAAUUGACCAGAAAAGCAAAUGUAGCUCCUCUGGGCUUUGAAGCCAAAUAGAGUACAAGAUCUGGUUCCCAGGGACAUUCCUCCUCUGUGUAAUCUAUCCCUUAAACUAUCUGCUUUUCAUUCACUAGACAAAUGGUGGCUGAGUGUCGCUAGAGGCAGGGCCUGACUCUGUAGAGGGGACAGAACCCAGCAGCAACCUAAUGGAAGGGAUUAGGUCCUGCACGAAGGAGCGAUGCCACAGAUUUGGAAGUGGCACUCUUCAGCUAAUGGGACUGAUAAUGGUUUUGCCCUAAAGAGCAAGAGUCUUAAUAUGUUCAGGCUCGGGAAAAGGGAUUGGAGAGGAUCCUGGUUACUCAGGGACCAGUGAGGGCUCCUCGGGCAAUUUAGUGGGCCCAGGUUCUGAGCAAAUGACCUGACUGUGGUUAGGAGCCUGAGGGUCAGGAGCAUGAAAGGGACCCCCAGCACAUAAGACCCUGCGAUUAAGAAGAAAGAUUUGUGUACGGUAUGGUGGCACAUGCCUGUAAUCCCAGCAUUUGGGAGGCUGAGUCAGGAAGAUCUCUUUGAGUUCAAGGACAUCCUGGGUUACAUAGUGAGUUCAAGGCCAGACUGAACUACACAGCAAGACCCAGUGUGAGAAAGAAGGGAGAGAGAGCGAGAGAGAGCGCUAUGUGUUUAGGCCAGAGGCAAUGCCCACUGGUGAAGUGGGUACAUACUCUGGAGCUCUCACUCUGUGCUCAGCUCACCUGACAGGGACAGUAAUCUGCAGGUCUACUUGACUCUAGGACCCAGAUUGGGUCAUUCUUCCCAGCUUGAGAGGCCCCAAAGUUGCCAAAACCCUCAGUCCCUGACAUAAUUAACCAUCUCUUAUUUUUUGCAUUCUGAUGCUUUGACCUGGGGGCUUCAUUGGCUGUGAAGAGACCACACCUCCUAGGUGAGCCAGUUCCUAGAGAUAGCAAACAAUUCCUCCAGGACUGUACAUCUUCAAAUGCAAACUCACCAAACCAAAACCCACCCUCGCCUACCCCCAGUGACCCCCUUUAUGGGGUCCUCACCCAUUGGCUACUGUCCAUCUGCCCUAGUCACCGAGGGCCAGGUACUAGACAACUAGGGAGAGUUCCAUGCCCCAGAGAUACUGAAAUUACUCAAACCAGCCAAUCCAAACCUGCUUACUUCCUGGUUGGCUCCUUCCAGGAAAACCACUGUACAGGCUCCUGAUUAUCUCUCCUCCCAUCUGCUCACCCUCACUUUGUUUUGGAGCCUAUGGUGGUAUGCCCCCACCUCUUGAAAACUGGGAGCAACAAAAAAAAAUUUGUUUUUUCAACAGCAGUGUCUUCUCCUCUGCUGGCCUCACUGUACCAGGAUUAACAUAACCUAUUAAAGCGUUGCCUCUCUUCUAACGUGGAGAAUAGACCCAUGUCUGGAGCACAGCCGCCCCAUCCUCUGGCUCCUUUCCUCCUCUUUGUUGUGGAAGGCGCCUCUGACAGCCCCUCCAAAGAAAAAGGCACACCUGUGAUGCCAGUACUCUGGGGUUACGGGAGGAGGAUCACAAAUUGGAGCCCAGCCUGGAUUUAGAGACUUG